rnacentral:rRNA from 1 species
CCUACGGGAGGCAGCAGUGAGGAAUAUUGGUCAAUGGACGCGAGUCUGAACCAGCCAAGUAGCGUGAAGGAUGACUGCCCUACGGGUUGUAAACUUCUUUUAUAAAGGAAUAAAGUGAGGCACGUGUGCGUUUUUGUAUGUACCAUAUGAAUAAGGAUAGGCUAACUCCGUGCCAGCAGCCGCGGUAAUACGGAGGAUCCGAGCGUUAUCCGGAUUUAUUGGGGUUAAAGGGAGCGUAGUUGGGUUGUUAAGUCAGUUGUGAAAGUUUGCGGCUCAACCGUAAAAUUGCACUUGCUACUGGCAGCCUUGCGUACAGUUGAGGUAGGCGGAAUUCGUGGUGUAGCGGU